GACUGUCAUGGUGGCUCAGGCUUCUAAUCUCUGCUACUGGGGGAAUCUGAGGCCUAUGAAUCGCUUGAACUCAGGAGUUCUGAGGUGUAGUUGGACUAAAGCUGAUCAAGUGUCCACACUGAGUUUGGCAUCAGCAUGGUGAGUCCCUAGAAUCUGGGGGCUCCCAGGCUGCCUAAAGAGAGAUGAACUUAUAUAGGUUAGACUUGGAGCAAAUCAAAGCUCCUACACUUAUUAGGGUAUGACUGGACCAUGAGUGGUCACUGUAUCCAGACUAUGUCAGAUGGGGAGACUCUGUCUCA
rnacentral:SRP_RNA from 1 species